rnacentral:lncRNA from 1 species
AAACAUAUGAAAAUCCUAAAAAUAGACUAUGUAGAUAAUGUGUUGGAAGUGUACUAUUUCUUGCAUUCAAAAUCUUUUCUUUUUUUUUAUAUAUAUAUUCUUAUAUCUCGAUAUCAGAUGAUUAAUUAGAAAGUUUUGCAACAUUAAAACAAAUUUUUUUUUUUUUUUGGUAUGGAUUUUUGAGGCUCAUUAGUCUUCAGUUUAAGAUUGCAACUUUAUAUAAAUUUUUGGAAAAUUACUAAAAAUCUCUCAAAAUGAGCUUUUUAGACCUUCUACCCCCACCUUAACAUUUUUUUACUCUUCUUUUUAAAAAAUCAACUUUCCUUACUAAAACCGCCAACCCAAAAGGCUCAUGGCCGGCUCACAGCUUUUCCUGACGCUGACGGCUUCUUCCUCAAGGCUCAUGGCCGGCUUACAGCUUUCUCUUUCACCACCAUUGCUUCUUCCUCACAGUUUUCUAUAUUUUCCUCAGCUUCUUCCUCACCUCUUCUUCCCACCGGAUUUCCCUCUCCAUUAGCUUCCUCACGGUUUUCCCUCUCCACAAAUUUCUUUCUCUCUCCAUUGGCUUCCUCACGCUAAUCAAAUCUCUCUCUAGGCCCUACCCAUUCACUUCUGCAACAAAAUAUCUAUUUUUUAUCUCCCUCUCUCUCUAAAAUCGAAUAUCUCCAUCGAGGGUGUCACUCUCCUAGUUUUUCUCUCCAUCUCUUUACAAUCGAAAGUCUCGUCUCUACAGAAAGGUCCCAAAAAGCUCUAUUUCUCUACACAAGAAGGUCCCACGAGUCUUUACGAAGGUCCCACAUAGCAUAGCUAUAUUGAAACAAGACCUAAUACAGGUCGAGGUCGAUUUUUG